UGUAGUGAUUGAAUGCUGGUGAUGGAUUUCUUUUCAAAUAUGCUGGAUUUUUUUUUUUAUCGAUAUUCUAUAUUUCUCUAAUGCAUUGUAAUGAAAGUGUCUCUGUAGGUGUUUGUGAAUCCGCACCUGUGCUCAGGUCCUGCAGGUGUGGAAAAAGCUGUAGUUUCUGUGAGAGACAGACAGGUGUGCAGAGAGAGUGUCGCUCUGAUGCUCGCUCGCUCUUCACACUCAUCUGUGAAAUACAGUCAGUGUAGGAAUUUACAUUUACAUGUGUUCAGAUGCAUUGAACCGUGAAUAGAAUACACACUGUAUGUUUCAGAUGUUAUCUUGACUGUAACAUUUGAAGCAUGCAUUUCUGUGAAGCUCCUUUGAAACUGUAAGUAUUGUGGAAAGCACUGUACAAAUGAGCAUGAAUGGAAAUGCAUACACUAGCUUUAAUUCAUCAUUCGAGCUGUUUUGUGCUGGACCAGGACGAUUUUCCUCUCUCUCUUUUCCUCGUCAAUCCCUCCAUUCUGUACAUUCUCCCACUCUCUGCUGAAUAUUAAUGAUUAAAGCUCAUUAACAUGUCAUCAUCUUCAGAGGGUUAAUAAAGUAUGGGGGUCCGUGACCCCUGUUGACCUCCUCUCUCUCUAUCUCUCUCUCUCUCUCCACCCAUCUUUUAAUAAAUCGAUGCAGCUGCGUAACGCUUAAAUGGGUCCCCGUCUCUGGGAUGAAUCCUGCUUUUGUGUCGUCUCUCUUUCUGCUGGUGGACGGGUGGCAGUGGUGUGGUGGGGGGCAAAAUCUUGGACAGGAUUCCUCUGCAGCUGGGGAAGAAUGGAUGGAGAGAGAGAAAGCAUGAAUGCUCCAUUGUGUGCUCACUUCAUAUCUGCACCGACUGCCUCCGCCAAGAGUCCAGUUACCCCAAUUGUGUUGGAGAAACAUCUAAAGCAAGCUGAUAUGGGGUUUCAGAGGGUUUCAUGGGGGUUUGGGGUGGAGGAGGGCGAGAGAGAGGGAAUUGGUUACCUGGUUUUCAGUGAUAUGAAGCAGAUCCAGAGAAGUGAGCCCUGA
rnacentral:lncRNA from 12 species